rnacentral:rRNA from 1 species
AACGAACGCUGGCGGCAUGCCUAACACAUGCGAGUCGAACGAGACCUUCGGGUCUAGUGGCGCACGGGUGCGUAACGCGUGGGAACCUGCCCUUAGGUUCGGAAUAACUCCCCGAAAGGGGUGCUAAUACCGGAUAAUGUCUUCGGACCAAAGAUUUAUCGCCUUUGGAUGGGCCCGCGUUGGAUUAGCUAGUUGGUAGGGUAAAAGCCUACCAAGGCGACGAUCCAUAGCUGGUCUGAGAGGAUGAUCAGCCACACUGGACUGAGACACGGCCCAGACUCCUACGGGAGGCAGCAGUGGGGAAUAUUGGACAAUGGGCGAAAGCCUGAUCCAGCAAUGCCGCGUGAGUGAUGAAGGCCUUAGGGUGGUAAAGCUCUUUUACCCGGGAUGAUAAGGACAGUACCGGGAGAAUAAGCUCCGGCUAACUCCGG